rnacentral:snRNA from 1 species
AACUUUGGCAGUGGCAAUAUCAUAGCCAAUGUGCUUUAUACAAUGUGUGAUUACUGCUAAUUGAAAACUUUCCCCAAUACUGCACUAUUAUGACUUGAAUAUGACUGGCAUAGGCAAUUUUUGACCAUCUUCACAGA